AUUGAACGCUGGCGGCAUGCCUUACACAUGCAAGUCGAACGGCAGCAUGAUCUAGCUUGCUAGAUUGAUGGCGAGUGGCGCACGGGUGAGUAAUACAUCGGAACGUGCCCUGUAGUGGGGGAUAACUAGUCGAAAGAUUAGCUAAUACCGCAUACGACCUGAGGGUGAAAGUGGGGGACCGCAAGGCCUCAUGCUCUAGGAGCGGCCGAUGUCUGAUUAGCUAGUUGGUGAGGUAAAGGCUCACCAAGGCGACGAUCAGUAGCUGGUCUGAGAGGACGAUCAGCCACACUGGGACUGAGACACGGCCCAGACUCCUACGGGAGGCAGCAGUGGGGAAUUUUGGACAAUGGGCGAAAGCCUGAUCCAGCAAUGCCGCGUGUGUGAAGAAGGCCUUCGGGUUGUUAAGCACUUUUGUCCGGAAAGAAAUGGCUCUGGUUAAUACCUGGGGUCGAUGACGGUACCGGAAGAAUAAGGACCGGCUAACUACGUG
rnacentral:rRNA from 1 species